GACGAACCGUGCGAACGUUGUUCGGAUUCACUGGGCUUAAAGGGCGCGUAGGCGGGUGAUCAAGUCAGGGGUGAAAUCCUCCAGCUUAACUGGAGAAUAGCCCUUGAUACUGGUCGUCUUGAGGAAGGUAGGGGCAUGUGGAACUUCCGGUGGAGCGGUGAAAUGCGUAGAUAUCGGAAGGAACGCCGGUGGCGAAAGCGACGUGCUGGACCUUUUCUGACGCUGAGGCGCGAAAGCCAGGGGAGCAAACGGG
rnacentral:rRNA from 1 species